UACGGAGGGGGCUAGCGUUGUUCGGAAUUACUGGGCGUAAAGCGCACGUAGGCGGCUUUGUAAGUUAGAGGUGAAAGCCCAGGGCUUAACCCUGGAAUUGCCUUUAAGACUGCAUCGCUAGAAUCGUGGAGAGGUGAGUGGAAUUCCGAGUGUAGAGGUGAAAUUCGUAGAUAUUCGCAAGAACACCAGUGGCGAAGGCGGCUCACUGGCCCGGUACUGACGCUGAGGUGCGAAAGCGUGGGGAGCGAUCCGG
rnacentral:rRNA from 1 species